rnacentral:other from 2 species
CCAAUCCUAGGUUAUGCGUUAAGGAAACAUAAUUGAACCUACAAUUUUUGAACGGGAAUCCGGGUUUCGCGUGCGUUAUGUCAGGCCUCCUUCGAGUGGAAGACAGAAGCAGGAGAACAGGGCACCCACCUAUCGGAAGAUAGGGCGUCAAUUAUAUCCUUAACGGUAAUUUGGGAUUUUA